rnacentral:rRNA from 1 species
UACGGAGGGUGCGAGCGUUGUCCGGAAUCACUGGGCGUAAAGGGCGCGUAGGUGGCGCGGGCAGUCAACGGUGAAAGUUCGGGGCUCAACCCUGAAUCGGCCGUCGAUACUCCCGGGCUGGAGCACUGUAGAGGCAGAUGGAAUUCCGGGUGUAGCGGUGGAAUGCGUAGAGAUCCGGAAGAACACCGGUGGCGAAGGCGGUCUGCUGGGCAGUAGCUGACACUGAGGCGCGACAGCGUGGGGAGCAAACAGG